UGGAUUUUAAAGCUUUCAAAAAGUUACCUCUGUGGGUGAGUGAACUUGAAGGAUUAUUUGUGGAGUUUUGGCUUGACGGUUGGAGAGUAGCAAACAUUUUGUAAAGUUGCUCCAUCUGCUCGGGAUUAAAAGCACUACUGGAACCUUGGGUAUUUUCUGUAGAAUAAUUAACAGAUGCUUGAUAACUACGAUUUCUAUUAUUUUGCCUCGAUUUCCAAUCGGUCGGCUUUCUGUGUAAGUCCCAGCAUGUGUCUUCCUUAUGUCCUGGCUUACGACAGUGUUCACACCAGGGUCGACCCUUUUGUUUUGAGCCUAACCCAACUGCUGACCCCUUUUUAUAUAAGCCCAUUCCGCCAGGCCCAACAUUAGUAAAAUUGAGCCCAACAUUAGCUGUAGCCUCGUUUUGAAUUUUUGAUAGAUCCAUUUUAAAGUUUGGAGGCCCAUUAUUUGGAGGCCCAAUCCCUUUCACGCCCAUUCCUGAGCUUUCGAUCCCCGACGUUGCAGAGUCGAACACGCUGCUUCCAUUCUUCAUCACCUUCCGCCGGUUCUCCUCUCGCCUUACCUCCGCGAACACCUCUCGCGGUGAUGGUAGUGGCUGUCGACCGAGGAUUCGACCUCUAACAUCGUCGAGGUCACGGUGAAGCCCAACGAGGAAUUCAAAAACUCUCUCAUUCUCCAGCUUUUUUCGGUAACAGGCGCAGUCUUCAGGGCACUUCCACUUCUCUUCCGAACUCAGAUCGAGUUCUUGCCAGAGCGCAGUCAUCUCAAGGUAGUAGUCGAUUACAUCUGGUUCUCCCUGCUUGGUUUGCCACAGCUUCGAUUUAAUUUUAAAAAUCUGGGAGGAGUUUUCAGAAUCCGAAUAAGUCUCUUUCACAGCUUCCCAAACAUCUUUUGCAGUGGGUAGAAACAGGUAUGUCUUUCCAAUUGUGGGCCUCAUGGAGUUGAUGAGCCACGCAGUCACCAUGGAGUUCUCCGAUCUCUACUUCUGAAGGAGAACUGUGUCGGUUGAGGCAGGCAUCUUAGUCUCUCCAGUCAGGUACCCAAGUUUGGCUUUUCCAUCAAUAAUCAAUUUGAUAGAUUGCGCCCAUUCCCUGUAAUUUCGUCCAUCCAAUUUUUCUACCGUGAAUUGAAAGGAUGAACCUUCAAUUCCUCCACUCACGGCAGAGGUAGCCUCCGUUCGUUCAUUGAAAGAUUCGGAUGUCAUUGACCCUCUGUUGGUGGUGGCAGUUUCUGUCAUUGGAAUGACCCUGAUACCAUUAAGUUGAAAAACGGGAAUAAGAUAUUUUUCAUAUUAACAAUGAACAAUACAUGUGUCCUAUUUAUAGAAGAAAGAAGAAAUAAGAGAAAGGAAAGCAAAUCUCUAAUGAAUAUACAAUAUUCUAUCUAAGGAGAAUAAAAUCUUCAAUAAUCUCUUUUAUUCCAAAUCAAUUCGGGAUUUCCAACAUAUAUAAGACCAUUGCUAAUGGAGAAUGGAGCUGCUCUAGGACUUGCACCAGCCUUGAAUACAUCCUUUUCAUUUAUGCAUCGUACGUGGAAAACUACUUCAAGGUAUGGUAGUUCUAUUCCGCAUGCCUCUGCAACCAUUAUUCUGUUUUUACUUGAAUUUUUGGCUAGAUAGGGCUCAAAAGUGUAUAUGGAUAAAGUCCAAUUAACUUUGCUUCAACUGCUUUUCCAAACUUUCCACCUAUACUCUACCCAAUUAUUCAUGAAUUAGCAAAGUAACAGAGUUUCUUAGGCAAUAAUAUUAGAUUUUGAGGAUGUUUGUUCUUUGAAUGGUAACUUAUAUAAUUCAUAAAGAAGCAAAAAGAUGAUCUUGCAAUUACAUUCUCAAAUAUGCAGAAAGAUAUCCAAAGUAGCCAAAGAGGCAAAUGACUCAAAGAAGAUGGAGAGUCAAUAGGAUUUAUGUUAAUGUUCACAACCAUUCGAUAAUUUCUUCCAGUUGAGAGUACUUAGUUAUUGCUAGUUCUGGUGUUGCAUUUGAUCAAAGAAUAGGUUGUUUGGUAUGUCACUCAAAUCUUAAUCAAAGUUUGUCUUCAUACCUGCUGCAUACGAAGUGAAUCACAUAAUGAUUUAAAUCAAUUGGUUGACAAAGAUUUUCGCCUCUUAGAUGCAACUGAUAAUGUUUACUAAAAACUAUAUUAAAACUCUUAUGUUGUGGACAUCAAGUCAUUCUUGUGUUUUGAAAUAAUUUUAUUUGGCGAAUAUUCUCUCUUUGAUCAGUAGCAUACCUCCUAUACAAUUUCUAUACAAGUUUCUACUACGUACUUCUUCAUAAAUGAAUCAAACGAGGUAUACUCUGGACCUUGGAGACUAAUGAAACUGCAUUCAUAUUUGAGACUCUGGUGUUUGGAUGAUCAGUUUGUACCUAUCAAUGUCAUAUUUCAUUUUUUACUUUUUUACAAGAUUUUAAGCUGAUAAUUUUAUCUUCAAAUACAUGCAACACGGUUGCUUUUAGUCAUAUCUUGUUUGUAUGCAUGUACUCUUUCGAACUUGACCUGUUGAUGCAUUUUAAAAUCGACAUCAUAACUUAAUUAACAUCUCUUAAUCAUAAUGUUGUUUAUCUUUAUUAUGUUAACAACCUCUUAGAUGAACAAGAAGCACUGGGGGAUAUUUUUGUGAUGCUCGAUUAUAGUAUCACUAGCUCACCAAAUUUUGGUGAUAAAACUUGUGCCUUCGCUAAUAGCUGUUGAAUAGUGAUCUGGAAUCAAUCUGCAUAUUUGCUUAGGCUACUGUACGAGAAAAGUUGCAUCGAAUGGAAAAUGGAGAGUGGAAGGCUCUUAGGGAAUUAGCUUUCCCUUUUUGACUAGAGAGGAAGGCUUUAAAGAAUGGAAAGUAGCUAGAAAGCAUUUUUCUUUUUCUUUUAUUUAAGUGAGAUAUACCCUUUUUUUUUUAACAGCAUACGUUGAAAGAAAGCCAAAAAAGAUUAUUUCCCUCUUAUCCUCCUCCAUAUCGAUCAAAAGAUGGAAAAUAAUUUUUUUAACAUUGCUUAGAAAAUUCUCUCUCUUUUUCUGUUGAACCCACCUUUCUCUCAUACCAAACAUCACCUUAGUUGUUCAUUUUGAUUCUUUUAUAACUCUUAUUAUAUGUUGAUCAUCUUUAAAGGUUAUCUAUGAUUAGCUUAUGAUUGUUCUUUUGUUAAUAGCUAUGCCUAAAUAAGCUUUUUUUAUAUCCUCUUUUUGAAUGACUGUUAUGUUGAAUAUAUGGGAUUAGCUAUGCCUAAGCAAAAUUUGAAUGACAUUGGAUUGGUUCAACAAGCACCCGGUUUUGGGAAGAACUUUGAAAUCACGUACCACUGCUGUUUGUCAUUGCAAUUUGUCCAAAUAUUACUGAUGUCUCAUUAAAAGCUGUGGGAUUUCACUCCAAAUCGCUUGCAACUCUAUCAUUAGCAUCAAUUUCUUUUACUUCUCAAUUGUAACUAUUUUGAUUGCAUGGUAUAUAAUUUUUCCCUCUUUGAUUUUUAUAUCUAAUAGUAUAUGAGAUGGGAGAAGGGGAAACUUGUCCAUGCAUAUUCUUCUCAGAAUCUUGAAGAAAUUCUUGUAAAUUAUUUGUAUUACUUUCAUCCUAUGUCUAUUAUUUAUAGAAAUUAUUUUCAAAAUAAACACAAUCCCAUUAUUUCACGAGUUCCAUUUUAUGCGACUACAGUAAUUUUGAUAUUCUAAAUGUUUUGACAUACCCAAUAUUGUGAUCAGAACUGAGGCAAGGAGAUAUUAUUUUCAAAUCUAUGUACCAUGAUUAAUUUCACCAAUAUUCUGGGUAAUCCACUUUCUCAUUUCAAACUCUACAUUAUAUUUUUUAGAGCUCAUGCGAAAGAAUAAGAGGAUGCUUGAUGAAUCCAUCCAAGAUAUCAAGCGGGAAAUACAGGGUUUACAAGCUCAAAAAAAGAAACAAAUUGUUGAGAUUAAAAAAAAUGGCAAGGGCAUAUGGUAAGAUGUUCUCUGUAGAUAAUA
rnacentral:lncRNA from 1 species